GCCAUCAGAGAUGAAAACACAGUCCCCGUCGGGUAGUCGUGGACGUGCGGGAGUCCACAUCAGCAACCUGCCUCCUUGGUUGUCCCUUCUCUGCAUGGUCAUC
rfam:Propionimicrobium lymphophilum ACS-093-V-SCH5 genomic scaffold aczIt-supercont-complete, whole genome shotgun sequence.